UUAGCUAAAAAUUGUUAAUCAGAAGAAGCAAAGGUGUAUGGCGUGGUGCCAGUAAGAUGGUAUCGAUACAAUCUAGUCUCAAUUAAGUUUAUCGCAGAACUGUUCGCAAUAUUUUUGGUUUGGAUUCAAAAAACCAAACUGGAAAGAAGUGGUAACCAGCAAGAAGUCGUAACCUGCUCGUAUAAAAGGAUUUCUCGACGUGAAAUUGUUAAUGUUAUUUAACAACGCCAAGAAACAGAGCUCGCUCAAGAAACAGAAAAGAAAGAGAAAGAUGAAAAAAUAUUCUGUUGAACAAUACUGUUGUUUUAUUUAAAAACUAUUCUCCUAUAUUU